UAAGGAAGAUGCGAGCGUUAUCCGGAUUUAUUGGGUUUAAAGGGAGCGUAGGCGGGUAUUCAAGUCAGUUGUGAAAGUCUGCGGCUUAACCGUAGAAUUGCAGUUGAUACUGAAUAUCUUGAGUGCACAUAAGGAUGGUGGAAUUUGUGGUGUAGCGGUGAAAUGCAUAGAUAUCACGAAGAACUCCGAUUGCGAAGGCAGCUAUCUGGGGUGCUACUGACGCUGAGGCUCGAAAGUGCGGGUAUCAAACAGG
rnacentral:rRNA from 1 species